ACGCGCCUCCGCUGAAAAAUUCAAAACCCCAAAAUUAAAACCCUAACUUACGGCGGAGGGACUUCUCCGCCGAGAAAUGUUUCGUCUGUGGCGGCACAACGCCGCCGCGUCCAGCGUCAGAGGAAUUUUAACCAAGACGGUUUCCGAACAGCAAUACUACUGCUCCACCGCUGCCGCUACCAACGGGGAGAACUGUGGAAAAGGAAAAAAUGAUAGCCGAUGGUUGAUGUUGCCUCCAUUUGACCCCGCCGUGGACGGUUCUUCGAUUGGAAAGAAGCUGUGUGGCGAGCCAACCGACUCAAGCAUGACGGCUCUUAAGUGGAUUGUUAAGUGCUGCCCUCAUCUCCCGAGGUCUCUUGUUCAGAAACUCUUUCGCUUAAGACAGGUUCGAAAAGAGUGCUCCAAUAUUGAAACUAAAGAACAGCGUCCAAGAAGGAUAGGAGCUAAAGAUCUGAUGGAUAUUGGUGAUAGAAUAUUGCUUCCAAAAUCUGUUGAUGGAAAGUCUCCUUCAACAACAGCAGUAUCUCAGAGCUUUUCCGAUGAAGAAGAAUUGAAACUUGUCAAGAGUCUUGAGUUGUAUAAGGAUCCAGCCAUAAUUGUCAUCAAUAAACCGCCUGGAAUGCCUGUACAGGGUGGCAUUGGGAUAAAGAGAAGUUUAGAUGAAUUAGCUGCCAAGUAUUUGAAAUAUGAUUAUGCAGAGUCACCUCGCCUGGUGCACCGACUUGAUAGAGACAGCAGUGGUAUAUUAGUGAUGGGAAGGACACAGUUAACCGCUACCAUCCUGCAUUCUAUUUUUCGGGAGAAAACUUUUGGCGCAUCAGAUGAUGUUCCUGACAGUAAAAAAAUCCUUCAGAAGAGGUAUUGGGCCUUAGUCAUUGGAUCUCCUCGCCGUCGAGAAGGAUUGAUUUCUGUGCCUUUGGGAAAGGUGGUAAUUGACAAUGGAAAAUCUGAGAGAAUUACUGUAGUAGAUACUACCAAGACAGUGUCAGCUCAGCAUGCUGUGACAGAGUAUCGAGUUAUAGCAUCUUCACCAUGUGGUUACACAUGGUUAGAGCUGUUGCCACUUACUGGAAGAAAACAUCAGCUCCGUGUUCACUGUGCUGAAGUAUUGGGGACACCUAUAGUUGGAGACUACAAGUAUGGCUGGCAAGCUCACAAGAGAUUGGGAAGCCGCUUGGUUUAUGCUUCAGACCUUAGAUGGCACAACAAAAUAUCAGAAGUUCAACAUGAUACUGUUGGCUUCGACUCGGAAAUUGGAAGUAUAUCUGAUAAACAACUUCGUCUUCAUCUUCACUGCAAAGAGAUGAUCUUACCCAAUAUUUCACUGGCCUUGCAACAUAGAAAUGGAAUUUCAGACCUGGAUACUGCAGCAACGGAAAGCAUUAAGUUAGUUGCUCCAUUGCCGGCGCACAUGCAAAGAAGUUGGGAUCUACUGAACUAGUACCAUUAGUUCCAAGAGGAGGGAAGUAUGAUAUUCACAUGUGCUACUGAUAACUCAUGUCCCAGCCCAACAUUAGGUGGAAAAUAAUAUGGCUGGAUAUCGGAGAUUUCCCUGGUUUUCUUCCAAUUAGACCGGAAAAGAAGUCCUCACACCGUGGUUUCAAUUCAUACCAAGCGGAGCAGAAUCUAGACCGGAAAAGAAGUCCUAACACCGUUAUUCAAUCCAUACCAAGCGGAGCAGAAUCUAGACGGGAAAAGAAGUCCUGACACCAUUAUUCAAUCCAUACCAAGCGCAGCAGAAUCUGUUGGAUGAACGUAACCUACAUUUCAAUUAUCUCAGCUGUAAGUUGGCCUAGUAUGGUGGUUAUUGGAUGGCCUGUCGGUUGUAGAUGAAGGGAGUGGUCUUUUAA